AAGGUCCCCGCGAGAUGCUUCGUGGCCAGUCUCUUUCAUCUCACGGGUCUUUUGUGUGUGUUCCGUGACCUUCAUGUGAAGAUCACGUCUCGUGUACCCAGUCUUUCUCUUCCAGGAUUUUUUUUAUAAUGGAGAGAUAUGGUUGUGUGUCUCUGAGUGUGAUUUUUUUCUUCUUUGAUCUCACAGAGGCAUGGUGGUGCACUGGUUGAGACCGCUGCCACACAGCUCAGCUCACAUAAUCAGUCCAGCACAAGUUGCUAGAUGUUUCCUUAACCCUCAGGGACACUUUAAAGAUGAUUGAACCAUUAUAAUCCACUCAAAUCUGGUUCAUUUAGUCCUUCCACCUUAAUUUCAAUGUAUUUUGCAAAGUUCAGAGAUAUUUGCGAACACUUCCCUGAUUUCUCUGAACUCGAGGUGAGCGAACACUAUGGACUUUGCUCAAUACUAAUUGCCAAUUAUUUUAUAUUGUGGUAAAAGAGUGCUGUACACUAGUAUACAGAAGUAACUUUACAAAUAAAUAUUCCUGUGGAAAGCUGCAAGUAACUCUCCACCCAAUAUAUAAAGCUGGGCUACCAGAAAGUAUCCCUGGAUAACCAGGUUUGGAAAGCCUGAGAUCCAUUUACAAGUUGUCCAACCCCUGAUUUUCCUUAAAAGCAAUUGUGAUACCAUUUGGUAAGGCUAGUCUCAUUGUUUCCAAUAAAACUGAUCAUUUUAAAACUAGUGAGGACUUAUCCUAGGUUAUAAUGCACAUAGCAAUUUUCAUUUCUACUUAAGAUGUUUAGAACUCAGUGCAGUAAAAAAAAAGAAUACAUUUUAAAAUAGUAUGUUUUUCCUUUUUUGUUGUUAUGGAAGAAAAAAAGCAUCCCUGUAGGUCUUUAAAAAGUUUACUCAGUAACUGAAUUUAAACUCAAAUUACUUGAGUGUAAACAUUAAUAAAGAUCUGUUGUGUAUGAAGUCAUGUGUCAAGUUUCUAUUAUAUCCCUUCCUCUGGUUCUCCUUUUUGAAAAACAAAAUCUGGUCACCAUAAUAGAUGCAUACUGUACAUAAAACUGUUUUAGCAUGUGUGCCACCAAGACAAGCAUUUAAAAUACAAUUUAUUAAUGGAUGCACAAGGCAAGAUGUAAGUUGGUCUCAGCGCAGAGGAACGUGCUGCUAACAUUUACCCCAAGAAGAUUAGAAAUACAAAGGAAAGAAAAGAAAAACAGUACUCCAGCUUGUAAUCAUUGUCGUGCACAUGCAUUACAAGCUUCUAUGAAUGUGUUCAACAAUGCCUGUAGUAAUUAAUUUGAAAACUUAGUUUAAAAAAAAA